rnacentral:rRNA from 1 species
GUGAGGAAUAUUGGUCAAUGGGCGGGAGCCUGAACCAGCCAAGUCGCGUGAAGGAAGAAGGAUCUAUGGUUCGUAAACUUCUUUUGCAGGGGAAUAAAGUGCAGGACGUGUCCUGUUUUGUAUGUACCCUGAGAAUAAGGAUCGGCUAACUCCGUGCCAGUAGCCGCGGUAAUACGGAGGAUCCGAGCGUUAUCCGGAUUUAUUGGGUUUAAAGGGUGCGUAGGUGGUUUGAUAAGUCAGCGGUGAAAGUUUGCAGCUUAACUGUAAAAAUGCCGUUGAAACUGUCGGACUUGAGUGUAAAUGAGGUAGGCGGAAUGCGUGGUGUAGCGGUGAAAUGCAUAGAUAUCACGCAGAACUCCGAUUGCGAAGGCAGCUUACUAAGCUACAACUGACACUGAAGCACGAAAGCGUGGGGAUCAAACAGGAUUAGAUACCCUGGUAGUCC